rnacentral:rRNA from 1 species
UACGUAGGGUGCGAGCGUUGUCCGGAAUUAUUGGGCGUAAAGGGCUCGUAGGCGGUUUGUUGCGUCGGGAGUGAAAACCUCGGGCUUAACUCGGGGCCUGCUUUCGGUACGGGCAGACUGGAGGUAUGCAGGGGAGAACGGAACAAAUGGUGGAGCGGUGAAAUGCGUAGAUAUCAUUUGGAACGCCUAUGGUGAAAACAGGUUGCUGGGGAUGUUCUGACACUGAGACGCGAAAGCCAGGGGAGCAAACGGG